rnacentral:rRNA from 1 species
AUUGAACGCUGGCGGCAUGCUUUACACAUGCAAGUCGAACGGUAACAGGCCUUCGGGUGCUGACGAGUGGCGAACGGGUGAGUAAUGCAUCGGAACGUACCCAGAGGUGGGGGAUAACGCAGCGAAAGCUGUGCUAAUACCGCAUGUGAUCUGAGGAUGAAAGCGGGGGACCGAGCAGCAAUGUUUGGCCUCGCGCCUUUGGAGCGGCCGAUGUCGGAUUAGCUAGUUGGUGGGGUAAAGGCCUACCAAGGCGACGAUCCGUAGCUGGUCUGAGAGGACGACCAGCGACACUGGGACUGAGACACGGCACAGACUCCUACGGGAGGCAGCAGUGGGGAAUUUUGGACAAUGGGCGCAAGCCUGAUCCAGCAAUGCCGCGUGCGGGAAGAAGGCCUUCGGGUUGUAAACCGCUUUUGGCAGGAACGAAACGGUGUCCGCUAAUACCGGGCGCUAAUGACGGUACCUGCAGAAUAAGCACCGGCUAACUACGUG